GCUAGUGUAGCUUAAACCUUAAAGCAUGGCACUGAAGAUGCUAAGAUAAAAAUUAAUCUUUUUCACAAGCA
rnacentral:tRNA from 1 species